CCUACGUGUGGCAGCAGUGAGGAAUAUUGGUCAAUGGACGAGAGUCUGAACCAGCCAAGUAGCGUGAAGGCUGACUGCCCUCUGGGUUGUAAACUUCUUUUAUAUGGGCAUAAAACAUGGCAUGCAUACCCUCUUGUAUGUACCAUAUGAAUAAGGAUCGGCUAACUACGUUCCCGCAGCCGCGGUAAUCCGGAGGAUCCGAGCGUUAUCCGGAUUUAUUGGGUUUAAAGGGAGCGUAGGUGGAUUGUUAAGUCAGUUGUGAUAGUUUGCGGCUAAACCGUAAAAUUGCAAUUGAUACUGGCAGUCUAGAGUACAGUAGAGGUAGGCGGAAUUCGUGGUGUAGCGGUGAAAUGCUUAGAUAUCACGAAGAACUCCGAUGGCGAAGGCAGCUCACUGGACUGUAACUGACGCUGAGGCUCGAAAGUGUGGGGAUCAAACAGGAUUAGAUACCCUUGUAGUC
rnacentral:rRNA from 1 species